ensembl:snoRNA LOC120093452 small nucleolar RNA SNORA17
ACUGCCCCCUAGAGGCAUUGCAGAUGUGGAUGCGGUGUCACAUCUGCAUCGAUAGGUGGCAGAGAGGAGAGAAGCUGUGUCUCUGCUCAGUGUUCUGACCUGAUCCGAAUGACUAGUAUCCUAAUAUU